UACGUAGGGUGCAGGCGUUAAUCGGAAUUACUGGGCGUAAAGCGUGCGCAGGCGGUUUCUUAAGUCAGAUGUGAAAGCCCCGGGCUUAACCUGGGAACUGCGUUUGAAACUGGGAGACUUGAGUGUGGCAGAGGGGGGUGGAAUUCCACGUGUAGCAGUGAAAUGCGUAGAUAUGUGGAGGAACACCGAUGGCGAAGGCAGCCCCCUGGGUUAACACUGACGCUCAUGCACGAAAGAGUGGGGAGCAAACAGG
rnacentral:rRNA from 1 species